CCUCGGAGCGGCAGGGGCGGUACCCGAGAUCACGUCUCGCUGCCUUCACUUUCUCGGGCCAGCUCGGCUCCGCUGCGCCUGGGAGUUUGUCGGAGCAGAACUACUGAGUAAAGCAGCUUUGUUACUUGAGUUGUAAAGUUCUCAAUCAUAUUGGAAAAGUUGAAGCUUCCUGCCAGCAGUGUGGUGGAGAGAUACAUUUUGCUCAUAGAAGAGAAGAUAUGGGCUUCAAAGUGACUUCUCAUUUUUCCUAUAAAUUUCGGUUACUGUUGCUUUUUACCUUAUGCCUGACAGUGUUGGGGUGGGCCACUAGUAAUUACUUUGUGGAUGCUAUCCGUGAGAUUCCUAAAGCAAAGGAUUUCAUGGCUAACUUCAACAAGAUCGUAGUUUGGAGGAAGGAAGAAACUGUGACAGAGGAAGCAUCCACGAAUAAAGCAAAUCUGGAGAGCUGCCCUUCUUUGUCUCCAUACCUCAAAGGACGGAGCCAGCUCAUUUUCAAACCAGAUAUCACACUGGAGGACGUGCAGGCUGAAAAUCCCAGCGUGCACAGGGGCCGCUAUCACCCUGAGGACUGUCAGGCUACACAGCGGGUUGCCAUCCUCAUUCCACACCGGAACAGGGAGAGGCACCUGCUGUACCUGCUGGAGCAUCUCCAUCCCUUUCUGCAGAGGCAGCAGCUGGACUACGGCAUCUACGUCAUCCACCAAGCUGGAAGUAAAAAGUUUAAUCGAGCCAAGCUCUUGAAUGUGGGCUAUCUAGAAGCUCUUAAGGAUGAAAAUUGGGACUGCUUCAUAUUCCACGAUGUGGACCUGGUGCCCGAGAAUGACUUUAACCUUUACAAGUGUGAGAGUCAGCCCAAGCAUCUGGUGGUUGGCAGGAACAGCACUGGCUACAGGUUACGUUACAGUGGAUAUUUUGGGGGUGUUACUGCCCUAAGCAGAGAGCAGUUUUUCAAGGUGAAUGGAUUCUCUAACAACUACUGGGGAUGGGGAGGCGAAGACGAUGACCUCAGACUCAGGGUUGAACUUCAGAGAAUGAAAAUAGUCCGGCCAUUGCCCGAAGUGGGUAAAUAUACAAUGAUCCUCCACACUAGAGACAGAGGCAAUGAAGUAAAUGGUGAUAGGAUGAAGCUUUUACAGCAGGUGUCACGAGUGUGGAAAACAGAUGGGUUGAGUAGCUGUAGUUAUAAGCUACUCUCUGUGGAUUACAAUCCUCUAUAUAUUAACCUCACAGUGGAUUUCUGGUCUGACCCAUGACCCUGAAUCAGCUCAGAAGAACUGAAUAUUUGAUUGCAAUAAUUUUGAACCAGAGACUUCCUUUGGUAGUUCAAAAUAAGAACAACCAAAUAGAUCUUAAUUUAUUAAUUAUUAAGCCAAUUAUUAAGCCGAAUUUUUUCUUUUUGUACUUUCUUAGCGGAGUUCUUGGUGAUAUGGAAUGUAAACACUAGUGUAACAAGACUGCUUUCUCAGUUGUUUUAUCAUAGGAAUUAAACAUCAUGAUAUAAAUACUUGAAGGACUAUGUGUAAAAGACUCUACAAAGGAUAUGUGAAUGCUGCUUGAAGAAAAUGCCAAGGGAAAUAAAAUAGCUAAAUGCCCUGGAAAACCAGAAUUAUUCUCCUCAAGGUAGAAAGAUGAAUGGACAUGUGUAAUGUAGAUAGAUGUGGGUGUUCUUCAGGGAGUAUUAAGCAGCGGUGCCCAGCUCAUCAUUGUUAUAUGAAAUGGUUAAACUUCAGUAUGAUGGGUGCCAACCAAUAAGUGUAAGUAAUAUCCUUUCCAAAGGGGAGAGGGAAGGCAUAGGAGAGCUUGGGGUACUCAAGAAAGAUAGCAUCCACCUCCCAAGUAAGGAAGGAAAAUUUGAAAGAACAUCUGUCUGUCUAUCUGUCUGGCAUCUAUCUCCCUCUUUCCCCUUCUUCCCUCUGUCCCUCCCUGCAUAGACAUGACAGAUUUACCUCAGACUGGUCAUCUCAUUUAAUUUGGGGACAAGUAAAAGCUCUGUCUUUAUUUAGCAAGCACUUAUUUUCAUAGUCUCCCCUACCCCUUGACCUUCUCAUUCUUUUUAUCUUUCUGGAAUACAGCCCCAGUUUCUUAAUUAAAACCUACAUGCCUACGCUAGGCCUCCCCAGCCUGGUCUUGGUUGGGGAUGGAGGGUAAAGCACAAGAAUGCUGUGUGUAAGGAAUCUGAGGAUCUGUAUUUGGGGACUCAAUGUGUCAUUCAGUGGAAACAAAGUACAGCUACUGCCCUGUGGAAACUCCCUGUAUGUUUUCAGUGUUUAAAAAGGCUCUGUGGUUUUUAAUAAGGCAGGACCCACUGUGAUAUGGCCAAUACUGUUUAGAUAAUUCUUUCAUGGUAAUGUACAAGUCAAGGAUGACCCACUAGGACACUUCUUGAUGUGAAAGAUAAUUUUUAACUGCCUUUGUUUCCUCACUGUCUUCCUCACUUUUCCUGGCCUGGAGGUCCCCAUGGGCUCAAGGCUUCACUGCCACCACCUCAGCUGCGGGGGUGGGGUGGGGGUGAGGGUUAGACCUCAGCUGCACUGAGCCUCCCUAAUUCCUGCCCUGUUUUGCGUUGUCAGUGGUCACAAAGAGGCCAGGCUUUACUUUAAAGCUUGUCUACUAGAAUUGCUAAGGAUUAUAUGGGUGCAGUCUAUUUGAUUCACAAAUACUUACAGAGUGCACUAAUUUAAGGGCUACUGAUUUUUUUUUUUCCGCUAUCAUGCAUUCUUACAGUGCUUUAGAGUUUGCAGUGUUUCCAGACACAUUUUAUUCAGUCUAUUGACUCUUAAGUUGGUUGAUGAUGAAGAGGAGGUUCAGAACAGGUGGAGGUCCUGACAGACACCUCAUAGCUAGAAGAUGCCAGAGUAAGGGCAAAUUCAGUUAUCUGAUACCAUGGUGGGCUUCUUUCGUUCUUUGAAGUAUUUUUCCUGAAUCUGUAGCCCUGCCUUACUCUAGACAAGUUUGGUAUCUUCUGGAUCCUAAAAACUAUGUUCCAUUCUCAUUUGGUCUCUCUAAACUUUUUUCUAGACUUCCUCCCUGGUUUUUCUGCCUUUAACCCCAUUACUUCUACUCAGCUCCUCCUGGACAUAUUUCUUGGGGGUCCAUCAUGCUCUUGAAUGGACUCUGGGGAAAGAUGACACAUUUCUUAUGAGACUUAAAACAGACACUUUUCCCACAUUUUAUACAUAUGUACAGUCCUUAUCAAAAUCCAUUAACAUGAUUCAAUCUCACAGAAGGUGGUAAGUAACCAGGUGAAGUGAAGCAGAAAUACUAAAUAGAGAAGAAAAAAGGAAAUUGUUCAGUCAAUAGAAAUGAGAAAUCAGCAGUUUCCAAUCUCAACCACAGCCAGACUCAAAAGAGAAACUGUCAAAUCAAGUUAGUGGGGUGGGUGUAGGGAGUGAAAGGACUUAAAAUUGCAAAUUCAACCAACUAUUUUUAUUCUUUCAUUUAUGGGUAGCUAGAAAGUACCUGUCCUGCUGCUAUGGGUAGGAAUUUGUUUAUUCCAGAUCAUGUAGAAAGAAAAGAUUACAAGGCUGACAGAUUGAGAAGAACGGACUUUGUAAGGCUUGGAGCCAAGUAGCAAUCUAGGAAGGAAAACAACCAAGGAGCUUGAUGACCCCAUCUGCUAUUGCAAUCAAAUAAAACUCUGAGUUAACCUGUCACAUUCUGGUUUUGGUAGUAAUUGUUCUUUGCAUACCUGAUAAGUAUGUGGAAUGACAUCGAGG